AUGUAAUGAGUACUUUUCAGUGUUGUACAUCCGUUUAUGCUUUCUGUUCUGGUGGCCGCCAUUUUGAGUUUGUGCUACUCAUCAACUUCAGACCACGUGAUUCCCCACCACGUGUGUGCUAACAGAAGAUCAUUAUAUUCUGUUUAUUUUGUCAUUGGGCCUGUAAAAGACCAUUGGUCUUAUUAGUGAUAGGUUAAUUUAUUAUUUUAAUUAGGUAGUAAUGAUUGGUUUAAACAUAUUUUAUUGUCCUAAAUUAAGGUUUUAAAAAAAGUUCUUACAACUUAGUUAGCGUUCCCCUAACUUAAAUACAUUUUGUCAUGUCUUAACAUGUACAUUUAAAGAUAAUUUUGGAUUAAAUAGAUUGAAUUUAUUUGUUUUGUUGACAGUUGUUUCUCUGUACCCUGAAUUACUCAAGAGUAUUAACCAAGGUUUUCACACAAAAACUGAUUUUUUUUAAUCAAGACUACUAGAAACGACUAAGUGGUCUUUUUCGUCGGAGUCUUAGACUUGGUGGAUUCUUUGCUGUCGGUUUCUUCUCUGCAUUUUUCUUGGGUGCCUUUGCCUUUGGUUUUCUUAGCUGGAAAUGUCAUCAGAUUUUUUUUAUAUAUAUAUAUAAUGAUGAAUUGUUGACAUUUGAUUCCUUGAUACCCGGUAUCCGAGAUCAGUAUUAUAUACGUAAUUGUUGCCUUACAUCCCAUAACGUUCUCCAGCACGUGGAUACCCUUUGUGCUCGCUCAUGGACCCGCCCUUCGCGCGCUUCAAUCGGGCCAUCAAGCGUGAUUACUAUAAGUUGAUAUAACUUGUUCCUCAAUUGUUGAAGAAUAAAUAAAGUUUACAUUUUACAUUUAA